rnacentral:rRNA from 1 species
UACGGAGGGUGCAAGCGUUAUCCGGAUUCACUGGGUUUAAAGGGUGCGUAGGUGGGAAUGUAAGUCAGUGGUGAAAUCUCCGUGCUUAACAUGGAAACUGCCAUUGAUACUAUGUUUCUUGAAUCUUCCGGAGGUCAGCGGAAUAUGUCAUGCAGCGGUGAAAUGCUUAGAUAUGACAUAGAACACCAAUUGCGAAGGCAGCUGACUACAGGGGCAUUGACACUGAGGCACGAAAGCGUGGGGAUCAAACAGG